rnacentral:misc_RNA from 1 species
AGCUGUGAUGGUGCUCAAGCUUCAGGGUCAUCUCAACUAGGCCGGAGACAAGUGUGUAGUCUUUGUGGACGGUCAAUACUUAAGCGUCAGAGCCAUUCUAUUGUUUUUGACAAUCCUUCAGAAGAGCAAAGACAGAUAAAUACUGUUAUACAAACAAGAAUUGCACCACGUCAGAUAUCAUCAUCUGAUAGAAUAUGCCAUUCAUGCUGGAUGAGUUGUAAGCGUGCUGCCAUACAUGUUGAGCAUGUUGAUGAAGCUCGUGGAGUUUCU